rnacentral:ncRNA from 1 species
GUUCCGGGGUGCUUGUGUGUGCAGGCUGAGAGUAAACCAAAAGGUUUUAACCCGUUGACCUGAUUUGGAUAAUGCCAACGUAGGGAAACA